rnacentral:sRNA from 1 species
AUAACAAGGUUUCCGUAGGUGAACCUGCGGAAGGAUCAUUAAUAAUGCCCUCUGGCUUCGGUCAGCUGGGUUCAAUGUGUGUCAUCUCUUCGGAGAUGGCCAUCCACACACACCGUGAACUGUGACUUCGGUCAUCACAAACUUUUAGUAAUGAAUGUAAAAAUCAUAACAAAAUAAAACUUUUAACAACGGAUCUCUUGGCUCUCGCAUCGAUGAAGAACGCAGCGAAAUGCGAUAAGUAAUGUGAAUUGCAGAAUUCAGUGAAUCAUCGAAUCUUUGAACGCACCUUGCGCCCUUUGGUAUUCCGAAGGGCAUGCCUGUUUGAGUGUCAUGAAACCUCACUCCACUUGGGUUUUUGCCUGAGUGGUAGUGUAUUGGGUGUUGCCUUGCCAAAGGCUCGCCUUAAAAGAAUAAGCACCUUGGAUGUAAUACGUUUCAUCCUUUCGGGUGGCUAAUAACCCCACAUAACUCAUGAUCUGGCCUCAAAUCAGGUAGGGCUACCCGCUGAACUUAAGCAUAUCAAUAAGCGGAGGAAAGGAAACUAACUAGGAUUCCCUUAGUAACGGCGAGUGAACCGGGAUGAGCUCAAAUUUGAAAUCUGGCGUCUUUCAGGCGUCCGAGUUGUAAUCUAUAGAGGCGUUUUCCGCGCCGGACCGCGUCCAAGUCUCUUGGAAUAGAGUAUCAAAGAGGGUGACAAUCCCGUACUUGACGCGACAACCGGUGCUCUGUGAUACGUUCUCAACGAGUC